rnacentral:rRNA from 1 species
AACGAACGCUGGCGGCAUGCCUAACACAUGCAAGUCGAACGAAGGCUUCGGCCUUAGUGGCGCACGGGUGCGUAACGCGUGGGAAUCUGCCCUUGGGUACGGAAUACCUCUCCGAAAGGAGUGCUAAUACCGUAUGAUGUCGCAAGACCAAAGAUUUAUCGCCCAGGGAUGAGCCCGCGUAGGAUUAGGUAGUUGGUGGGGUGAAGGCUCACCAAGCCGACGAUCCUUAGCUGGUCUGAGAGGAUGAUCAGCCACACUGGGACUGAGACACGGCCCAGACUCCUACGGGAGGCAGCAGUGGGGAGUAUUGGACAAUGGGCGAAAGCCUGAUCCAGCAAUGCCGCGUGAGUGAUGAAGGCCUUAGGGUUGUAAAGCUCUUUUACCCGGGAAGAUAAUGACUGUACCGGGAGAAUAAGCCCCGGCUAACUCCGUGCCAGCCGCCGCCGUAA